AAGGGUAUAGCUCACUGGUAGAGCACGUGCUUGGUGUGCAUGAGGUCCGGGGUUCAAUCCCUAGUGCCCUCU
rnacentral:tRNA from 1 species